GAUCAUGCUCAGGAUGAACGCUAGCUACAGGCUUAACACAUGCAAGUCGAGGGGCAGCAUGGUCUUAGCUUGCUAAGACUGAUGGCGACCGGCGCACGGGUGAGUAACACGUAUCCAACCUGCCGUCUACUCUUGGACAGCCUUCUGAAAGGAAGAUUAAUACAAGAUGGCAUCAUGAGUCCGCAUGUUCACAUGAUUAAAGGUACUCCGGGUAGACGAUGGGG
rnacentral:rRNA from 1 species